rnacentral:rRNA from 1 species
GACGGAAGGUGCAAGCGUUGCUCGGAAUCACUGGGCGUAAAGAGCGCGCAGGCGGUCGAUCAAGUCGCGUGUGAAAGCCCCCGGCUCAACUGGGGAGGGUCACGCGAUACUGAUCGACUCGAAGGCAGGAGAGGGUAGUGGAAUUCCCGGUGUAGUGGUGAAAUGCGUAGAUAUCGGGAGGAACACCAGUGGCGAAGGCGACUACCUGGCCUGUUCUUGACGCUGAGGCGCGAAAGCUAGGGGAGCAAACGGG